rnacentral:rRNA from 1 species
CCCCUACGGGACGCAGCAGUGAGGAAUAUUGGUCAAUGGGCGCGAGCCUGAACCAGCCAAGUCGCGUGAGGGAAGACGGUCCUAUGGAUUGUAAACCUCUUUUGUCGGGGAGCAAAAGACGCCACGCGUGGCGUUCCGAGAGUACCCGAAGAAAAAGCAUCGGCUAACUCCGUGCCAGCAGCCGCGGUAAUACGUAGGGAGCGAGCGUUAUCCGGAUUUAUUGGGUGUAAAGGGUGCGUAGACGGGUAAUUAAGUUAGUUGUGAAAUCCCAUGGCUCAACUGUGGAACUGCAACUAAAACUAAAU